CCUACGGGGGGCUGCAGUGGGGAAUAUUGGACAAUGGGGGGAACCCUGAUCCAGCCAUGCCGCGUGUGUGAAGAAGGUCCUCGGGUUGUAAAGCACUUUCAGUGAGGAAGAACGCCUGGUGGUUAAUACCCAUCAGGAAAGACAUCACUCACAGAAGAAGCACCGGCUAACUCCGUGCCAGCAGCCGCGGUAAUACGGAGGGUGCGAGCGUUAAUCGGAAUUACUGGGCGUAAAGCGCGCGUAGGUGGCUUGAUAAGCCGGUUGUGAAAGCCCCGGGCUCAACCUGGGAACGGCAUCCGGAACUGUCAAGCUAGAGUGCAGGAGAGGAAGGUAGAAUUCCCGGUGUAGCGGUGAAAUGCGUAGAGAUCGGGAGGAAUACCAGUGGCGAAGGCGGCCUUCUGGACUGACACUGACACUGAGGUGCGAAAGCGUGGGUAGCAAACAGGAUUAGAUACCCUUGUAGUC
rnacentral:rRNA from 1 species